CAAACAUUUAAAUCAAUCAGAACUUUUUUCUCUCAGCUUGUAUCUGUCUAUCUCUCUCUUCCUCCAUCAUUACUCUUCCUCUCUUUCUCCUCCUCUUUUCCUAUGUGUGUGUGUGACAAGACUGUGUGCUGUCGCUAUCUCCUCCUGUGUGUGUCACAGGAGUGUGUGUUGCUUUCCUCCUGCAUGUGUGUGUGUUCUCUCUCCUCAGGAGUGUGUGUUGGCGUGACAGGGCUUGUUGUGGCAUUGUGUAGCUGUCAGCCCCGCGGCUGGAGGAAGAUGUAUGAAGACACAGAGACAGGAGGACAGGAGUGCGUCAGAGAGGAUUGAGCUGUCACUGAUUCACAGCAAACUGCUCGGUCAUCACACUGCUGCUGCUUAGAGCAGGUCAGCGAGACGGAGAAAUAGAGGGGUCUUCUACACACGAGGGGACAGCUGUUGUGCAGUGAAGAUGUUCCGGGACAGCCCAUGCACAGUGGUGUGGGGAGAGAUCCAACAUGUCUACUCUUCCCAUCCCGGCGGGAGCGUCAGAAUAGGGAAGCAUUGUUCCACGGAAGAUGGACGGCCCUUCUAAUGUCUGCCUCUGGAAGAGCCGUCAGCCAGCCAGGAGCUGCCAGAGCCGUCAGCCAGCCAGGAGCUGCCAGAGCCGUCAGUCAGCCAGGAGCUGCCAGAGCCGUCAGUCAGCCAGGAGCUGCCAGAGCCGUCAGCCAGCCAAGAGCUGCCAGAGCCGUCAGUCAGCCAGGAGCUGCCAGAGCCGUCGAGCUGCCAGAGCCGUCAACCAGCCAGGAGCUGCCAGAGCCGUCGAGCUGCCAGAGCCGUCAACCAGCCUGAACUACCCCUCAGUCCUGAGCUACCUCUCAGUCCUGAGCUACCCUAUAGGUUCAGGUUUUGCGGCCGGAGUCCUCACCUUGGGGGGGGGGGGUACUGUCACGUUCUGACCAUAGAUCUUUUGUGUUUUCUUUGUUUUAGUGUUGGUCAGGAUGUGAGCUGAGUGGGCAUUCUAUGUUGUGUGUCUAGUUUUCCCGUUUCUAUGUUUGGCCUGAUAUGGUUCUCAAUCAGUGGCAGGGCUUAGUCAUUGUCUCUGAUAGGGAACCAUAUUUAGGUAGCCUGUUGUGUGUUGGGUUUUGUGGGUGGUUGUCUUCUGUCUUCGUGUGUCUGCACCAGACAGAACUGUUUCGGUUUUUCCACAUUUGUUGUUUUGUAUUUUGUAGUGUUCACAUUUAUCGUCUAUAUUAAACAUGAUGAACACUAACCACGCUGCGCUUUGGUCCUCUCCUCCGUCAACAGAAGAAAGCCG
ensembl:lncRNA